rnacentral:rRNA from 1 species
AACGCUUUGGUUUUGCCGGAGCUUGCUCCCCGGUUAUCAAAGAGCCCGGACGGGUGAGUAACACGUGGGCAACCUGCCCAACAGAGGGGGAUAACACUUGGAAACAGGUGCUAAUACCGCAUAAUUUGUUUUCCCGCAUGGGAGAAUAAUAAAAGACGCUUCGGUGUCACUGUUGGACGGGCCCGCGCUGCAUUAGUUAGUUGGUGGGGUAAUGGCCUACCAAGACCGUGAUGCAUAGCCGACCUGAGAGGGUGAUCGGCCACACUGGGACUGAGACACGGCCCAGACUCCUACGGGAGGCAGCAGUAGGGAAUCUUCGGCAAUGGACGAAAGUCUGACCGAGCAACCCCGCGUGAGUGAAGAAGGUUUUCGGAUCGUAAAACUCUGUUGUUAGAGAAAAACAAGUGGGAGAGUAACUGUUCCCACCUUGACGGUAUCUAACCAGAAAGCCACGGCUAACUACGUGCCAGCAGCCGCGGUAAUACGUAGGUGGCAAGCGUUGUCCGGAUUUAUUGGGCGUAAAGCGAGCGCACGCGGUUUCUUAAGUCUGAUGUGAAAGCCCUCGGCUCAACCGAGGAAGGUCAUUGGAAACUGGGAAACUUGAAUGCAGAAGAGGAGAGUGGAAUUCCAUGUGUACCGGUGAAUUGCGUAGAUAUACGGAGGAACACCAGAGGCGAAGGCGACUC